rnacentral:lncRNA from 1 species
GAGAGAAGAACCUAUGAUUAGCUUUUCGGAAAAUUUCCAAACGAACAAUUUCAACUAAAUCUUUUAGUUUCUUAUUUUACUAUGUUCAACUCUAUGUAUUCCUCUAUCUGUAGAGUACAUUGAAUGUACAAAAAAUGGCUAUAACAGAGUUUCUCUUAUUCAUAUUAACAGCUACUCUAGGGGGAAUGUUUUUAUGCGGUGCUAACGAUUUAAUAACUAUCUUUGUAGCCCUAGAAUGUUUCAGUUUAUGCUCCUACCUAUUAUCUGGAUAUACCAAGAAAGAUGUACGGUCUAAUGAGGCUACUAUGAAAUAUUUGGAAUGUUUCAGUUUUAUGCUCCUACCUAUUAUCUAGAUAUACCAAGAAAAAUGUACGGUCUAAUGAGGCUACUAUGAAAUAUUUACUUAUGGGUGGGGCAAGAUCUUCUAUUCUGGUUCAUGGUUUCUCUUGGC